AGGGGUAUAGUUUAAUUGGUAAAGCAGCGGUCUCCAAAACCGCAAUUUCGGGUUCAAGUCCUGAUACCCCUGCCA
rnacentral:tRNA from 1 species